rnacentral:rRNA from 1 species
GACGAACGCUGGCGGCGGGCCUAAUACAUGCAAGUUGAGCGCUGAAGGUUGGUACUUGUACCGACUGGAUGAGCAGCGAACGGGUGAGUAACGCGUGGGGAAUCUGCCUUUGAGCGGGGGACAACAUUUGGAAACGAAUGCUAAUACCGCAUAAAAACUUUAAACACAAGUUUUAAGUUUGAAAGAUGCAAUUGCAUCACUCAAAGAUGAUCCCGCGUUGUAUUAGCUAGUUGGUGAGGUAAAGGCUCACCAAGGCGAUGAUACAUAGCCGACCUGAGAGGGUGAUCGGCCACAUUGGGACUGAGACACGGCCCAAACUCCUACGGGAGGCAGCAGUAGGGAAUCUUCGGCCAUGGACGAAAGUCUGACCGAGCAACGCCGCGGGAGUGAAGAAGGUUUUCGGAUCGUAAAACUCUGUUGGUAGAGAAGAACGUUGGUGAGAGUGGAAAGCUCAUCAAGUGACGGUAACUACCCAGAAAGGGACGGCUAACUACGUG